rnacentral:rRNA from 1 species
UACGAAGGGGCUAGCGUUGCUCGGAAUUACUGGGCGUAAAGCGCACGUAGGCGGAUUGUUAAGUCGGGGGUGAAAUCCUGGAGCUCAACUCCAGAACUGCCUUCGAUACUGGCGAUCUCGAGUUCGGGAGAGGUGAGUGGAACUGCGAGUGUAGAGGUGAAAUUCGUAGAUAUUCGCAAGAACACCAGUGGCGAAGGCGGCUCACUGGCCCGAUACUGACGCUGAGGUGCGAAAGCGUGGGGAGCAAACAGG